rnacentral:ncRNA from 2 species
GGUUAUGAGCGUCAGCGACAAGCCCUGGCUUGCUGACCGGCAACCCUCCGCGGCGGUGGGGUGCCCCAGGUGACGACCCGGUGAGCCAACCCGGCCCACAAGCGCAUGCC